GAGGGAGGCAUUCCUGGCUGACGGUCCACACAGUGGAGGAGGGAUGAGAGAUGAGACCUAAGGCAAUAAGAAGGUUGUGAAUGCAGACAUAUCUUCUAAACUUUCCUCGGAGGGCUGUGGGGAGCCACAACAGGUUGCUCAGAGGGCCCGACGGCAUCAGGUUGGUCUCAGGGAUCGUCAGUGUGACUGCGGUGGGGAGGAGGCCCAGGAGUGGACAGGAGUGGAGGCGGUACAGGCCAUGGUGAGGAGACGUGGAGAUGGGAGCCCACCCACCCGGGCUCCUUCGCUGUGCGUGGGUGGGGCUGGAGGGUGUCCAGACACACAGGUUCCCUUGACCCCUCCUCCCCCUCAGCUACAGUGGUUGUGGGCUGGGGAGAGUAGCAGGUUUCCCUUCCUGAACGGCUAUCAUCCCCAGCCCGGCUCAGGCCGAGUCCAGCUCCAGCCCCAGUGGCUAAUCCUGGUGACACUGGGUCCUGAGGCCGGGGCGGGGCAGCCGGGCAGCUGGCCUCAAUUAGCCGGGGAGCCGGGUCUGGACAGUGUCAUUAGGAGAAAACCAGAGCCUGGCCAUAAACUCUAAUGAAUGCAUUAAUGGAAGGCUUGUGCGCCUCAAAGGGGAAAAAAAAAAAGCGGGUCUAAAUAAAGUUAUUAACACAGCCCACCUGUGUUCGGCUCUCGGCCUAUAUUGUUCAAAUAGCCCAUUAACUCCUGAAGCAUCCAGUCUUGAAAGCAAGCCCUGCCUCUCUGAAGCAGGCGUUUAACUGCGUUCAUAUAAUUCAAUUAGAUCCCGCAGUCGUGGUCCAAAGGCAUUCUCUGGGCUUUCAUCUCGGUAGCCUGGGAGAGAGAUGGGCCCGUGCACCUGUCCACAGAGAGCCUCCAUGCAGCCGUACCUCCUGGGCCGGCCCUGGCACCGCCAGCUCCUGAGUUCGCCCUGCCCCUCGGACGCCGGCAGGGCCAGGGCCGUCGGGGCCACGGCUUAUCCAUCAUUGCAAAGAUCUCUCUGAGGCAUGGAGCGGAGGCAGCCCUGCCCAGAGGGGUUGGAAAAUGAGCGGCAUAUGGGGCCCUCAGUCCCAGGACCUUCUUGGCUUGGCUCCCGGGGAAGGGCGUGGGCUUCUUGGUCUGGAAACCGCCCAGGGAAGGCCUCUGGGGAGGCAAAGGCACACGGCUUCAGAAAAAUGGUACAUCUCUGUGGCUUUGGUGACCAGGUCUGCCUUUCCGGGCUCUUCGGAUUCCCCCAUUUUCCCCCAGCCCCGAGACCAACUUUGGGGAGAGGGGAAGCUCACACCUCAGAGAUCCAGACACCUGCCGCGGUGCUGGGGAGGGGAUGCUAGUGAAGGUGGGAAUGGUGUUUCUAAGCAGCCCUGGAAGGUGAGCAAAUUCCGGUACCUCUGUAUGGUCUCAGGAACCUGCAUCCUUGCUCCUCUGCAUUCCCUUCCUCCGAGUGACGAGGGGCUGUGAACUCUCCGACCUGCCCAGGUGGAAUUCUGAGAUCGUCAGAAGUCCCUCCUUUGAGCCUCAGUUCCAUGAGUAUCAAACUGCUGGGGAGACUUUGGGGGUGGGGGAAGCAACAAGUUUGAGCCAAGAACCCAUGAUUGAAAUUCUCCACCAAUAAAUUCCUCCCAGCUGA
ensembl:lncRNA